CCAUCCGGCACCGCCCCGCCGCCGGGGGGAAGCCGAGGGGGCUGAGGGAGAUGAAGAAACUGAGGGAGAUGAAGGAGAUGAAGGGACAUGAAGGGCUGAAGGGCGCCGGGCAUUGCCGUACCUCAGCGCGGCUUCAGCUUUCGCGGCGCACAGCAGCCGCGAAGAGCCUUUGUGAGACACUUGGGAGAAAAAGGAGAAUGCACUUUUUUAUUGCUAUUAUUUUUAUUUUUAACUAUUCGUCUAUUUACAGAGACCACUAAAAACAAACAUAAUAAAGUCUUAACAAAAUACACCAACACAUUAGAAAUAAACGCGUUGAAAAUAUUCGCCCCGGGGGUGCUGCUGACCACCCCCUCGCCCUGCCUGCUCUCCUUUACUUCAGACACCGACGGGUGGUGCCCCGGCUGCCGCCCGCAGCCCCGCAGGGCCCGCCGCCAUGGCGCCCCUCAGCACCUCCGGGCCUGCCUCUGCCGCCGCCACCGACGAGGCAUAGAACACAGAUCUUGAAACUAUGAAAAGUUCUUUUGCUUUGGAAAACAUUAUAUACAAGAAAUGGAUGUUCCUUUGUCAUCUUAGAGAGUGUUUUCUAAGGCACAGCUGACAGUUAUCACCCAUGCCAUCCUGUCACGUUAUUUUUUGUGUUGAAAAUAAAUGGAAGUUACUGUU